rnacentral:SRP_RNA from 1 species
GCCGGGCAUGGUGGCGCAUGCCUGUAAUCCUAGCUACUUGGGAGGCUGAGACGGGAGAAUUGCUUGAACCUGGGAGGCAGAGGUUGCAGUGAGCCAAGAUUGAGCCACUGCACUCCAGCCUGGACAACAGAGCAAGACUCCAUCUCAA